UACGGAGGGUGCAAGCGUUAUCCGGAUUCACUGGGUUUAAAGGGUGCGUAGGUGGGCAAGUAAGUCAGUGGUGAAAUCUCCGGGCUUAACCCAGAAACUGCCAUUGAUACUAUUUGUCUUGAAUACUGUGGAGGUCAGCGGAAUAUGUCAUGUAGCGGUGAAAUGCUUAGAUAUGACAUAGAACACCAAUUGCGAAGGCAGCUGGCUACACAAAUAUUGACACUGAGGCACGAAAGCGUGGGGAUCAAACAGG
rnacentral:rRNA from 1 species